ACAGGGUUCAUAACUUCGCUUAAUAGUUAGUACACACUCAAUGCUGUCUGGCAGAAUUCAGGCCUGAGCCAGCCAUCAUAACAACACAAUAUACAAGUUUUCAUUGUGUUGGUUUUGACCAGCAACAAUCUCAGCAUCAUCACUCGGAUAAACGGCAUCCCGUUUGAUGGGAGAAAGAUGUCGAGCGACUCAAAUCUUUUCCCCUUUGUCUAAAUGUCCUAGUGUACACCCAUGUGAGUGUGGGUGUAUUCACGAGUACACCCUCUUUUCCUAUUCAGUCUGGUGGAUUCAACUCUUCAGAGGCAGGAGCAACUGUGGAUGCCUGGCCGUAUUUACCAGGCUUUAAGGUGGGACAAAUUUAAUCUCUAUUCUUUCUUUUUGACUAUUUGGUGGCGUUAAUUAUCAAUCAUGGUAUACGCUAUCGUGGUGCGGAGUACGAUUAUUCCUGUGGCUACGCCGUUGACUGGAACUCUUUUCUCUCUCCUUUUUUGUUGACUCAUCAGUCAGGGCUCAUUAAAUAAUCAUUUGUAGAACGAGAUCAGGCUUGUUUCGCGUACCUCACAACUUUGUGGUAAACUUUGAACUUGAAUCACUUAAAGCAAAGUGCAGCUAGAAAAUUUUUUACCAAGAGGAAUCUGUCGUCACACCGUUAUUCCUCGUUAUAUUCUUUAUUAUUUUUUUCACCUCUUGGGUGACAUCUAAG